AUGAAGAGACUUUUGAGGGGCUCGUCGAGCCGAAGCUCUAAGGAAAAACAAAAGGAAGAAGAGGAGAAGCCCAAAUUUAAUUUGCCUCGCACCGCGGAGGUCCGGCCUUGUGAAUGGCCUUCCGAUGACUUCUUGAGGAGAGCUGGGAUUUAUGAAGAUUUCUAUUUAUUGAUUGAGAAUGCUGGCCUCACCAACUUCCUCCAUGACCAACGUCAUCAGUAUCUCUUACUCACAAAUACUUUUGUGCAAAACUUCUACUUUUUCCCUAAGAAAUCACCUCCAACAGUAGAGUUUCAUUUAUAUGAUGUUGUUAAAAAGAUGACAUUAGCUGAAUUCUGCGAGAUUUGCAGAAUACCCUUUGAGGGCACCUUAGAUGAACCCCAUCGUAACGAAGUAGAAGCUUUUGUUAACACUAUCACGGUGGGAGAAACCAGGAAGGUUUCUGAUGCAAGGAUCACUAGCAUACAUUAUCCCGUUUUACGCUACUUUGCCUUAUUUGCUAGUCGUUGCUUGAUUGGACGCGGGAACUAUGGGAACCUUAUUAUUCCUGAUAUUAUUAUUUUGCUCCAUGGUUUAUACCGCAAUAACUCUGUUAGUAUGGGUGGAAUUGUUGCUAGACGGUUAAGUCUGAACCGUACUAAGGGCCCAUCUUUGGAGGCAUUUAUGCUUCACGCCUAG
rnacentral:rRNA from 1 species